UGCAGAUAUACAAAUGGCUACCUACUCGAGGUGAUGGCCAACACUGAGAGGGAACUAUGCCUAAAUAACACAGAUUGGGUGUCAAGGGUCAUACCCUGAGGAGUCAUUAAUGUUGUCAGGAAAAACACAUUUGUGUUAUUCACUGAGCUGAGAAACACACACCAUCACACCAAAGUUUAAUAAAUGUUUUCCCCCUUGCCAAUUCUGUUUGUAGUUAUGGCCUUGCUUCAUAUCACCAACUUCCCAGCAGUUUCAGGGGAGUUGAAAACCAAGACAUGAAAAGAGAGCACAUUCCCUGGCCAACAACUGUGACUGAGCUCGCAGGCAUCCAAACUACAAGAGGAGACUUUUUUAUUCCAAUGAUGUUUAUCUGAGUGUCACACAAAUAUGUAAACAUUGAAGGGCAAAUCAUUAUUAUUGAUUACAACUACUGUUAUUUGAAUUGGUGUGCAUCAGGGCUGAAGAUAGUAGUAAACAUGUUAAAUGAUAGUUAGUACCUGUGUAUACCAGUGAGUCUCAUCAUCCAAAACCGCAUGCCCUUCAGAGCCAUGAGCCGCAGAAACACCCCUGUACCCAUCCCAUGUCCUAACCCAAACCCUGUACCCAGCUAGCCUUGCACAGCCACCUGAUCCCGCAAGCUCAAAUUAAAACUCUACACAGAUAUCAAUCUGGUCGAGCUGUGAUUCAAAAGGUUUUGGCGUGGGGCAUUUUCCGAUGGGCGUUGAGAAAAGUUCAUUUGAAUGCGAUUGGCUUGACCUUGAACUAAUCAAACCAAGCAAUAAUUCACAACAACAAAAAGUACUUCAAGCAACAGCAAAUAAACAAGCAGAUCAGUAAAUGUAGCUGUCAGCUACUAUCUGAUUAAGAACUCUGAAAACGACUAUUACAAUUUUUGUCACCAACAUUUGUGCAUCAAAGGCACCUUAGCAAGUACCAAAAACAAAAAAAAGAAUACAGCAGAGGAAAAACAUUAUCACAAAAAAACUACUUAAUGUUGAACAUUGCUGAACGUUCAUGAGAAAUCAAUCUGUGUUAGUACUCAUCAUUACCAGACCACACCCAUAAUUCAUGAAAGUGUGCUGAUUGGCGCAGUAAUCUGUAUAGUGUUUAAAUGUGAGCUUGCGGGAUCAGGUGGCUGUUCAAGGCUAGUAUCUAGGCCUAAAUCCUAAAACACCAAUACACCCUACUCAGUAUCCAGGUUGUUCCUGCUGGCAGUGCCUUUUUUCUAUGUAGCCGUGUAUCAGUGUGCGUGUGCAUAAGCAUUUGUGUGUGUUUGUACAACUGGUAUCUAGAUUUAAAUAUAUAUCACGUCUCCUUUCCUUUCCACCAACUUCAACCCCAAGAUUACAUGUCUGCAGUGGAACCCAUAAGAUUGUGUGUGUGUGUGUCUGUUACAUCGGCGUGUGUGUUUUAUUUCAUGGUUCACUUCUUUUGACAUGGUGUUAGUGUCAGAAGAAGCGGACAAUCAAUGCUUUCCAGCAAGCCCCGUUGGGUUAAUCUGGAUAAUUAAAUGUGUAUAUUACAGGUAUCUGUGAAGCUGUAAAGAAACUUAAAUAAAAAUAGCAUCCUUUAAUGA